AACGAACGCUGGCGGCAUGCCUAACACAUGCAAGUCGAACGGGAUCCUGGCUUCGGUCAGGUGAGAGUGGCGGACGGGUGAGUAACGCGUGGGAACCUGCCCAGUGGUGGGGGAUAACUGCGGGAAACUGCAGCUAAUACCGCAUGAGCCCGAGAGGGGAAAGAUUUAUCGCCAUUGGAGGGGCCCGCGUUCGAUUAGGUAGUUGGUGAGGUAACGGCUCACCAAGCCGACGAUCGAUAGCUGGUCUGAGAGGAUGAUCAGCCACACUGGGACUGAGAUACGGCCCAGACUCCUACGGGAGGCAGCAGUGGGGGAAUAUUGGACAAAUGGGGGGCGAACCCUCGAUCCAGCAAUGCCGCGUGAGUGAUGAAGGCCUGG
rnacentral:rRNA from 1 species